rnacentral:rRNA from 1 species
AUGAACGCUGGCGGCGUGCCUAAUACAUGCAAGUCGAGCGAACAGAUGAGGAGCUUGCUCCUCUGACGUUAGCGGCGGACGGGUGAGUAACACGUGGAUAACCUACCUAUAAGACUGGGAUAACUUCGGGAAACCGGAGCUAAUACCGGAUAAUAUAUUGAACCGCAUGGUUCAAUAGUGAAAGACGGUUUUGCUGUCACUUAUAGAUGGAUCCGCGCCGCAUUAGCUAGUUGGUAAGGUAACGGCUUACCAAGGCAACGAUGCGUAGCCGACCUGAGAGGGUGAUCGGCCACACUGGAACUGAGACACGGUCCAGACUCCUACGGGAGGCAGCAGUAGGGAAUCUUCCGCAAUGGGCGAAAGCCUGACGGAGCAACGCCGCGUGAGUGAUGAAGGUCUUCGGAUCGUAAAACUCUGUUAUUAGGGAAGAACAAAUGUGUAAGUAACUAUGCACGUCUUGACGGUACCUAAUCAGAAAGCCACGGCUAACUACGCG